rnacentral:rRNA from 1 species
GACGAACGCUGGCGGCGGGCUUAACACAUGCAAGUCGAACGGAAAGGCCCUGCUUUUGUGGGGUGCUCGAGUGGCGAACGGGGGAGUAACACGUGAGUAACCUGCCCUUGACUUUGGGAUAACUUCAGGAAACUGGGGCUAAUACCGGAUAGGAGCUCCUGCUGCAUGGUGGGGGUUGGAAAGUCUCGGCGGUUGGGGAUGGACGCGCGGCUUAUCAGCUAGUUGGUGGGGGAGUGGCUGACCAAGGCUUUGACGGGUAGGCGGCUUGAGAGGGUGACCGGCCACAAUAGGACUGCGAUACGCCCCAGAGUCGUACGGGAGGCAGCAGUGGGGAAUAUUGCCCAAUGGGCGGAAGCCUGAUGAAGCAACGCCGCGUGCGGGAUGACGGCCUUCGGGUUGUAAACCGCUUUCGCCUGUGACGAAGCGUGAGUGACGGUACUGGGUGAAGAAGCACCGGCUAACUACGUG